rnacentral:ncRNA from 1 species
CGUCUCCCGGCCCUCUCCCGUCCGCGGGUGGGGCGCCCGCCGGAGGAUAACCAAACUCUGAUUUAACGACGUUUCUUCUGAGUGACACAAGCAAAUAAUCAAAACUUUUAACAACGGAUCUCUUGGUUCUGGCAUCGAUGAAGAACGCAGCGAAAUGCGAUAAGUAAUGUGAAUUGCAGAAUUCAGUGAAUCAUCGAAUCUUUGAACGCACAUUGCGCCCGCCAGCAUUCUGGCGGGCAUGCCUGUUCGAGCGUCAUUUCAACCCUCAAGCUCUGCUUGGUGUUGGGGCUCUACGGUUGACGUAGGCCCUUAAAGGUAGUGGCGGACCCUCUCGGAGCCUCCUUUGCGUAGUAACAUUUCGUCUCGCAUUGGGAUUCGGAGGGACUCUAGCCGUAAAACCCCCAAUUUUACUAAGGUUGACCUCGGAUCAGGUAGGAAUACCCGGUGAAAUUUAACAAAAUAAA